GGGGGUAUAGCUCAGUGGUAGAGCAUUUGAUUGCAGAUCAAGAGGUCUCAGGUUCAAAUCCUAAUGCCCUGUUAAGUCA